GACGUAGGGCGCGAGCGUUGUCCGGAUUUAUUGGGCGUAAAGAGCUCGUAGGCGGCUCAUUGCGUCAACCGUGAAAACCUGCCGCUCAACGGUAGGCUUGCGGUUGAUACGGGUGAGCUGGAGUUCGGUAGGGGAGACUGGAAUUCCUGGUGUAGCGGUGAAAUGCGCAGAUAUCAGGAGGAACACCGGUGGCGAAGGCGGGUCUCUGGGCCGAUACUGACGCUGAGGAGCGAAAGCGUGGGGAGCGAACAGG
rnacentral:rRNA from 1 species